AGCAUUCAUAUGACUCGCGCGACGCAGAUUCUCCCGGGAAGAUCUCGAUCAUUGGAAUUGCGGGCAACGAGGGCAAUGGAACUGGAUCGGCUCUCAUCUUCUUGGGCUCAGGGUUUUCGAAUUCGGUCUCUCAUUUGAUGUGCCUCGCCAGCCUCAUGAUCCCCCCUCCUUUGCUUCUCUCAGGCACUGACGGUUCUCCCCAAGCUCAACCUGAACUACAGGUGAUUUCGUCAGAUUUCUCGAUCAUGCAAUGCAUCGUUGCUCAUUGAUAUUGCCGAAGCAAUGGCGAGAACAAUUACAUAUUGAUCGAUGUAGGGAAGACGUUUAGGGAGCAAGCACUAAGAUAGUUUACACGCCGUAAGGUUACUCAAAUGGAUUCUGUGUUGUGUGUCACCAUCGCACUUUGAUGGCAGUGGACUUGCGAUUGUGCGGCAUUCACUUCUUAGCAACAAGUGAGUUAAGCCUAUUUGUUCUCACGUCGCCUACAGCCAAACGACGCAUGCUUGAGCCUCUGGUCCCGGUCCAAGAAGAAAGUUCUUAGAAAGCGGGGGCGAGAGAUUUCGAAAGAGAGUUUUGAAAGCAAGAUUUAAGAAAUUGAAAUUGGUGUUAUAUGGGAAUGU